UUUAUUUGUUUUUUAAAUUAUGGACAAAAGGGGUAUUUUGAUUUUUCUAACUCUCGUAAAAAUUUUAAUCCGGGAUUAACUUGAGAUGACUUAUUAAGGCUUAGUUUGGUAUUGAGGUGGAUCUAAAGCUAUUAGAUAGAAUAGAGUUGAGAAAAAGUAUAUAGGGAUAUGCUUCUGUGUUCUCCGAUAGGACCGUAGAAAAUAUACCUUAACCGACUAAGGCUUCGUUUGGAAUUGCGGAGAGAUUGUGUUACGUGCGAUGAGAAAGUACAUUCAAAAAAUACUCUGUUUGUUUCCGAACAUAAUAUUACGUUCUGCAUAUUACGAUGAGUUAGUUACGAUAUAUUUUCUGCGGUCCCAUGGGAGAAUGCAGAAGCAUAUUUCUAUAUGUUUUUUUCUCAACUCCAUUUUAUCUAAUAGCGUUAGAUAGACAUCAAUACCAAACUAAGCCUAACUGCAAUAUGCGGAACGCAAUAUUAUGUACGGAAACAAAUAGGGUAUUUUUCCAUCUUCCUUUCUCACCGCACAUAACGCAAUCUUCCCGCAACCCCAAACGAAGCCUUAUUAACAACUCUACAAUAGAGUUAUUUCUGAAUAAUAAAAAAAAUAUAUGAAGGGUAUAUUGAAACAAAAAAAUAUAUAAGAGUACAUAAGAUAUUUCAAAAUUUUUAAGAGGUAUAUAGGUAAUUAUUUCAUGUAGAAAAAUACAAUUCUCU
rnacentral:lncRNA from 1 species